GCUUCGGCUGGAUUGUGCCCUCCAGAAUACCACAACUCUGUAUCAAAUGUCGUCUGAGUACUAUAAAAUAGUUAAAACUUUCAACAACGGAUCUCUUGGUUCUGGCAUCGAUGAAGAACGCAGCGAAAUGCGAUAAGUAAUGUGAAUUGCAGAAUUCAGUGAAUCAUCGAAUCUUUGAACGCACAUUGCGCCCUCUGGUAUUCCGGAGGGCAUGCCUGUUCGAGCGUCAUAAUGACCAAAUCACCCCCGUGGUGGACUUGGAGUUGGCUGUACUAGCCUCUCUUAAAAUCAGUGGCGGUGCUCUUAAAGCUCUACGCGUAGUAAUUUUCUCGCUACAGGGUCUUGAUUGUACUUGCCAACAACCCCAACUUAUCAUAAGGUUGACCUCGGAUCAGGUAGGGAUACCCGCUGAACUUAAGCAUAUCAAUAAGCGGAGGA
rnacentral:rRNA from 1 species